UACGGGGGGGCAAGCGUUGUUCGGAAUUACUGGGCGUAAAGGGUUCGUAGGUGGCCAACUAAGUCAGACGUGAAAUCCCUCAGCUCAACUGGGGAACUGCGUCUGAUACUGGUCGGCUUGAGUGCAGGAGAGGAACGCGGAAUUCCAGGUGUAGCGGUGAAAUGCGUAGAUAUCUGGAGGAACACCGGUGGCGAAGGCGGCAUCCUGGACCGGUAUUGACGCUGAGGCGCGAAAGCCAGGGGAGCAAACGGG
rnacentral:rRNA from 1 species